AGAAGAAUGAAAAGAAUAUGCCAGAUGCAAAUGGGAGGCAGCAUCACAAUUUAACAUAGAUUUUCACAGCAAGGCAGCAAGCUAUGUGUAAGUCCAGGAUUUUAAAAAGGAUGUGGAGUAGAAGAGACAUGAGAUGCUAUACCUAGACUGCUACCAUCCGUCCAGCGUUCAUCCUCAUCGAAGUGAGCAUCUCCUCCGAGACCUGUCCCAGGCGCAAAGGCAUGAGCCAGCGUGUUUCCUGGCCCAUCAAAUGGGAUUUUAAUCUUCAUAAGAAAAGAGCACUGAUAUAAACCAUGAACAAACAAAACAGGACACAGGAUUAGCCUACAGGAAUCUUUCUUACCUCCUCGCGCAAAGCCAAUCAUGAUGUCAGCAGUUCCCCGUACAACUUUCCUGAAAUGCAGGGGGAUCUCUUUGCCCCACAUGUUUAAAGCCUUUGACACUAAUCGAUCCACUGUAAUAUGCGAGUCUACAGAACUUUGAAAGUAUGUGUUAUUUUUCAUUAACUAAAACGAGGAAGUAUUACAUCGUUAUUGGCAGGAAGCACACAAUGUAUUUGUCUUUCAAAGGAUUUUUUUUUCUGUCUGCUGCAUAAAUUGACUCCAUGAGAAACCUCAUUUUUUUGCCAAAGUCAAAUGACUGCUCUCAUAGGUAUCAUUC
rnacentral:lncRNA from 1 species